AUAAGACCACCAUGGUAAUUUUUCCUUCAUUCCCUUGAUUCUUCAACUCUCCCCAUUUGCUUCUCUCUUAUUUAGUUGGAGAACACCAUUUAAUUCUCAAGACCCAGUUCCAAUGACAUUUCCACUUUGAAGAUUUGACUCUCCUUUUCCAACAGUUACACUCUGUGUAAAUAUGUCCUGGAAAGCCUUCUCACUACCUCCCCUGACCCCAACACGAGUAAAACUUAUAGUCAUAAAGCCUGGAAGUCCGCAUUUUGAACUUGCUACGCAGGUGAUUCUUAAUUCCAAUUUUUUGGGUGUUUUGUCUUUUUUAGCCAAUGAUGAGUGUGAUGGUUACUCUCAUAAAACUAAUGGUUUUAAUUAGAAAUAUCAGUGUAAACUCAAGGUGGCAUAUUUUCUGUUUAAAAAAAUGCCAGUCUGUUCAAUAAAUCCACAUAGAUUCUGAUCAACAUAGUGUCAUUAGCCCCGUCCCUAGUCCCUAGAACUAGAUUGUAAGCUUUUAGUAACACUUCCAACUAAAAGGAAACAGGGCUUCUGUGAGAAAUAGCUGACUCCAGGCCUGGGACAAGG
rnacentral:lncRNA from 1 species